CGUCGGGGGUGGCUUACGUUAUUAAGGUAGGCUGUCGUGGUUUGUGGACCACGGUGGUAAUUGAGGCAGAACUUUUUGGCUUAGUUAAAAUGCAGGAGUUUCAAGAGUCUUGUAGUGGUAGGUUCACUUCAGCUGUGAAAACCUCUAGGUUUGAAAACCUGAGGAGACUUAGGUGUUCAUGAGGUCACGAGGCGGCCACGUGCAGCCCUGGCAGCCGAGUCUAACAGGCCGAGCGCGCUCGGGUCUUGGGCCCUCGGGCAGAGGCUCAAAGCACAUGGCGACUUCGGCAAAGGUCGUGAAUUCCGCUGUCGGUGUCCAGUGGCCAUCUUGAAACUGCUUCGACGGUACUCCCCCGUUUAGAUCUUAGAUCUAGGACGCAGAAGUAAUUGUUCCGAUGGAGGAUAGAAAACGUGACCUGGUAAUCCAGAAAUGCCAUGUGGUAUGGGUGAAGUCCUGUUUGUUUAGAAGCCUGUGUCGCACUGCCAAAAGGUGAUUUUAAAUCUCAACAGCUUGGGUAUUAAGUGGCGAAUGAUAUUCUGGAAACUGUCAGGGUGGUGUGUUCGAUAUAGGUCUGAAUUUUUUGCCUGUAGCCUUUAAGUAGGGAAUAGGUGAGCACUUCCUUGCUUGCUAUAAUUAAGUAAAAUGCUUGCUUUGACUGGAGAAUCCGUGUUCUCUGACUAAAUGAUAAGGAGGUGGAAAGGUAUUUGUUACUGCAAAUAAUAAAGACUACCUCUUAGGGUAAGAACUGGUGUUGAAAUAGUAUGAAUGAGUAUCCUUGUGAGGUACUACGGUAUUUGGAGGGAAACAGCAUUAAAGGCAGAUACCCCUAAGGGACAGCACAGUCAUUUUGUACCACACAAAAGAUUAAGACUACUAUGUAAGGUGAACAAGUAUGCACUUUAUUCACACAAAUGUGCACAGAACACUUGUGUCUUUUAAAAGUCACAUUUAAUGCUUAACAAGAAAAAAUUAGCUAUAAUAAAGACAUACAUUAUGAACCAAGUAUUCAAGUUUGAGCAAACUGUAGGCUGCCUGUUCACUCUCUGUCUUUAAAGUGUCCGGCCUCUGGUUUUAAUAAAAUUUCAAUAUAAAUGUUCCUUGCAUCUGCACUAUAGUUUAAUUAGAAAGGUGGCCUGUGCGACAUUUCAGUAGAGAUAAAUUUCCUCUCCUGUAUUGCACAUUUUCUCAAGCCCUUGUGCAGGUGUGCAUUGUGUAGCUCUGUCAUCUCUGUAAAUGGGAAUGCUUUAAAAAAAUUCCUUUAUCAAAAAUCUUGAGCUUUCAGAAAAGAUUUAAUGUUCUGCCUGAUAACAGCAUUGCAGUUCUGUACACUAUUAAAGCACCUUUAUGAUAGCACCAGUUUUUUACAAAAAGGACACAAGUGGAUGCAGUGGAGAAAGUAUUGAAGUCCCGUUCAUGUGGAUUUAGCCUUUGAAGAGGAUUACUUAACUGAUCUUGAUCCUAAAGUUCACACUGACCUUUUUACCUGUCUUAAUGCAUCUAUUUCUUGGAUAUACAAAAACUGUUUAAACCACCUAAGGGCUCUUCAUGUUAGCAAUCAUAAUCUGGUGGUGAUUGCUUAGGGAGCCUGAGGGGCAUGCCUUCUGUGUUUGAGCAGAGCUUUUUUGCUUUGCUAUCAGGAAUGUCCUGAAAGGGUACAUGCUAAGCAGCUGUCCCUUACUGGUUUGGGAAAUAGCCAAAGGGGAAAAUGGCCUGCAGACCGCAGUGGAGGGAGGAAAGAACAUUAUUAGUACUGGGUCAGUACUGGAUCCCACGGGCUUACCUUGGCCUCUGGGUGUGUUUCUUACCAACCUUUUGUAAAUUAUCAGUGAGGUGCAUAGUCCCUUAAUGCAGGGCCUGGCACAUAGGUGGUAUAUGAAUUAAACCAGUGGAUACAAGUUAGUUUUUUUCCCACUACAUGAGCAGAGAAAGCUUUUUUAAUAGUUAUUUUUACUAGCUGGGACAGGACAGUAGAAAUCUACAUGUUUUGGUCAUUACAAGAAAGUUGGCAAUAGAUGGCACUCUUCAGUCAUGGUACAGCAAAUUGGCAUGAUGCCAAGGAAAAAUAAAGAAAGCUGUAAAUCUUAGGGUAGCUGAAAGUAACUGCUAGAGGAUGUUAACAAAUAAGAUGGAUAAAUUAAGUUGUACAUCCCAACAAUUUGAAGGCAUUCCUGACUCUCUGGUAUUCCAAAUUUUGGUAGGUAACUAGAAUAUGUUGCAUGGUACAAAGGCUUCAUUCAGGAAUGUCUUGUGACUGAUCCUGUUCCAGUUUGGGUUUAUAAUGGAUUCCUUCACCUUUUUGGCCCUUGAUUUCCUCAUUUAUCAAAGGCUACAGAGAUUUCAUUGUGGAAAUUUCUCAGUCUUGAAGAAAAUCUGAGCUUAAUUACACAAUACUGUUUUUAAUAAACUGUAUUGAUCCAAUUAUAAACUCGAAAGCCAAAUGAAGACCGCCUUAUUGCACAACUGACAUACAGUAAUCUCUGGAGAGUGAUGAGAAUAAAGAUUCAACAAUGCUAA